rnacentral:rRNA from 1 species
CCUACGGGAGGCAGCAGUGGGGAAUAUUGGACAAUGGGGGCAACCCUGAUCCAGCCAUGCCGCGUGUGUGAAGAAGGCCCUCGGGUUGUAAAGCACUUUCAGUGAGGAAGAACGCCUGGUGGUUAAUACCCAUCAGGAAAGACAUCACUCACAGAAGAAGCACCGGCUAACUCCGUGCCAGCAGCCGCGGUAAUACGGAGGGUGCGAGCGUUAAUCGGAAUUACUGGGCGUAAAGCGCGCGUAGGUGGCUUGAUAAGCCGGGUGUGAAAGCCCCGGGCUCAACCUGGGAACGGCAUCCGGAACUGUCAAGCUAGAGUGCAGGAGAGGAAGGUAGAAUUCCCGGUGUAGCGGUGAAAUGCGUAGAGAUCUGGAGGAAUACCAGUGGCGAAGGCGGCCUUCUGGACUGACACUGACACUGAGGUGCGAAAGCGUGGGUAGCAAACAGGAUUAGAUACCCGAGUAGUC